UUGGGAGCACAAUUACUAAAAAAGUGUAAUGAGACAGAUUAGCAUUGUCCCUGCACAAUGGAGACAUACAAAUUUGUAAAUUGUUCCAUAAAAAU
ensembl:snRNA U6 U6 spliceosomal RNA